rnacentral:rRNA from 1 species
UACGGGGGGGGGCAAGCGUUGUUCGGAAUUACUGGGCGUAAAGAGCUCGUAGGCGGUUUGUCGCGUCGAAUGUGAAAUCCCGGGGCUCAACCCCGGGUCUGCAUUCGAUACGGGCAGACUAGAGUUCGGUAGGGGAGUCUGGAAUUCCUGGUGUAGCGGUGAAAUGCGCAGAUAUCAGGAGGAACACCGGUGGCGAAGGCGGGACUCUGGGCCGAUACUGACGCUGAGGAGCGAAAGCGUGGGGAGCGAACAGG